UACGUAGGGUGCAAGCGUUGUCCGGAAUUAUUGGGCGUAAAGAGCUCGUAGGCGGUCUGUUGCGUCGGCUGUGAAAACCCGAGGCUCAACCUCGGGCCUGCAGCCGAUACGGGCAGACUAGAGUUCGGUAGGGGAGACUGGAAUUCCUGGUGUAGCGGUGAAAUGCGCAGAUAUCAGGAGGAACACCGGUGGCGAAGGCGGGUCUCUGGGCCGAAACUGACGCUGAGGAGCGAAAGCGUGGGGAGCAAACAGG
rnacentral:rRNA from 1 species